GCCUGGGUGGCUCAGUGGGUUGAGCAUCCGACUUUGGCUCAGGUCGUGAUCUCAUGGUUCGUGGGUUCGAGCCCCACAUGGGGCU
rnacentral:tRNA from 1 species